AAGGGUGACAGUGGUGGUCCAAUGGUUUGCAAAGACGAAAAUGGUCGUUUUAAACAGUUUGGUGUGACCAGCUGGGGACUGCGAAGCAAUGAUAAAAAUGCCCCUGCCAUCUAUGUGAACAUCAUCUUCCAUCAAGAGUGGAUCGAAUCCAUCACUGGCAUACCGCUUACAUAGAAGAAAUCAAGACAACCUAAAAUAACUUACACUUCUCUAAAAUAGUGCAAGUUAAAAGACUGAUUCAUUAAGUAAUCACCGUUUCACUUUGGACAUGCGUGAUGUUUUAUACCAAUUGGUGGUACACGUAAUAUACUGAUUUUGCACAUUUGCUUUACUUUCAUGAUUGUUAUAGUGAUGAAACAAUAAGACUGUAUUUUAUGCAGUAUGUGUAUAUGAAUUGUAUUUGCAAUAUAUUAAAUAGCUCUCUACUGGGGAGAAACAUGUACUUUGACCUACGUCAGUGCCAUUUAUUAUUUGUAUUGUUUUCAUCAGAUUCAGAUAAUCAGUAAUAUGAAAUUAAAAUGUUGAUUCUGUUCAGCUGACCUUAGCACGAAGUGCUCAAGAAGAGCUUUUGUUAUUCACCUAUGUCCGGCGUCGUGUGGUGUGUGGUGUGCGUUGUCCGUUCUGCGUCGUCAACUUUUAGCUUUUUACAAGUUUACAGGCCACAUUUGGCAUGAACAUGUUGACCGAGUUCGAAUCUUUGUCACAUGCUUUAAAAAAGCUAUGUAACUAGGUCAAACAAAAAUGAACUUGUUACCUCUCUAAAUGCAACAAUUUUGAUUCAAUCGUAUAUUUUGAAAGCUUGGGUCAAGUGCGUCCAAAAAUAAGGUCACCCGGUCAAAUCUAACACAAAUCAUGUUACUGCUCUAGAUGCAACAAUUAGAACUUAAUCUUGUUGAAACUUGCUCAGAAUGUUUAUCUGGGCAAUAUCUAUUGAAAGUUUGAAUCUGGGUCAAGUUCGUAAAAAACAACGUCAAAAUAUCAAAUCUGAGAAAAAAUAUGUUUACCAAUUAAGGGGCCACAUUUAUGACUAAAUCUCGAUGAAACUUGGUUAGAAUAUUUAUCACGAAAUUAUCUAGCCCUUGGUAAAAAUGUUUAUCACAACGUUAUCUAGCUCUUGGUAACCAGAUCGAUUCUUCGAAAAGAGUCAUUACCACUCCGAAUGCAACAUUUAUGACACAAUCUCGAUGAAACUUAAUCAGAAUGUUUAUCUAGACAAUAUCUAGGCCGAGUUUGUAAUUUGAAUCAUAUGCGAACACCCUUGUCUCCACUCGAGAGACAACAUUUAUGACUCAGUCUAGAUAAAAAAAAUCUUCAGAAUGUUUAUCUUGACAAAAUAAAUGCCAAGUUUGAAUCUGGGUCAAGUGGUGUCAAAAACUAGAUCAACAGGUCUUCAACAAUUGGUGCGAAGUGAACUCAGGUGAGCGCUUGAUGGCUUGGUUUUAUGUUUCUUGUACCGGGUAGAUCUAAUAUUUAGAACAUUGUUAUCAUUAAUAAAUUCCUUUUCAUUUU